AAGGAAGUAGUUCUACUUCCGGGGGCGGUGGUAGUUGCAAAAUGGAGCUGCUUGAAGGCACAGAGCAAAAAACUUUGUUGUUUUUUUUUUGUUUUGUUUUUUACGACGGUACGUAUUUCCAUCUCUGGUUCUCUUCACAUUGGCGAUUAACCCGUCAUGUGAAGGACCAGUAUUCCGAACCGAGUGGGGCAGCCGGUUAGCCUGCUAAACAGUAGCCUGUUUGAGCCUCUUGAUUUGUACGUUCAAACUUCUGACUGCACGUAUUGCUUAAGGCAGCGUGUUGUUCAAUUGUACGUGAUAGCGCUUUAUUCGGCCUCUAAAUAGCCGCACGAACACCGUCUCGUUUGACUGGUCCAAACAUUUUGGCCACGUGUUAGUGAAGCAGCGGCCUGUUCUGCGGAGACGUUUGCUUCAAAGUGGUACUUGCUCUUUGUAGUGAAUUGUAACGAGGAGACAUCCACGAAGAAGACGGCGCAUUAUUAUUGAGGGUACGAAUUUACACGUUUUCAUUCUUUCAUUAUUUAAGUACAUAUAUGGAAUUAAGUAAAGCCCUUCAGGUGUAGCAGCAGACCACCAACGCCAUCACCUGGGCCGGUGGACUUCACGACGCCAAGAAGUCCGAAGCGUCUGGUUUCUGUUACGUGAAGGACAUCGUCCUGGACAUUUUUGAGCUACUCUUGACAUCGUGGGGCUGGAAAGGGCAAAUACUACUCAGUGAAUUACCCACAAAGCCAUCUUUAAACCGUUUGAGCCCAUUACCAAAGAAUAACCUGAGGAGGAGGUCCAAGAAUGCUGCCAACCAAGGGACAAGGAAGCAGAAGAGGAGUAACCUGCCAAAAGGUUUAAUGAAGUUCAUCCACUCCUGAUGAUGGGACCUUUGAAUCCUGUGGUAGACGGAAGUAGCGUUUUUGAGCCCAUGACCAAAGAAUAGCCUGAGGAGGAGGUCCAAGAAUGCUGCUAACCAAGGGACAAGGAAGCAGAAGAGGAGUAACCUGUGGGUGAUUGACUACAGCCAGAAGUGGCCAAAAGGUUUAAUGAAGUUCAUCCACUCCUGAUGAUGGGACCUCUGAAUCCUGUGGUAGACAGAAGUAGCGUUGUGAGUUUGUACCUGAAGUGUGAAGGUAAGAGUUGGUGUUGUAAUUUGACUUUUUUUUUUUUUGUGUAUCUAUGGACUUUGAUUGAAUGCAUGUUUUGCAAAUGUGAAGUGUUUUGCUAUUAAAAGAAUCAAAAGUU